rnacentral:misc_RNA from 1 species
ACUUGCUUUUGAGUGGAACUGGGGGCAACAGUCUUUACGGCUGUUCCCCUUAAAAAUAUUAGGCCUGAACUUGUUUUGUCUGCCUGAACUUUUUUUAAUAUAAAGGAAAGCUCUUGCCAACUAAAACUUUAUUGGGGCCUCCCAAAUAAAUCUAUCUUAAAUUUGAUCUGAAAUCAGGUGGGAUUACCCGCUGAACUUAA